GACGAACGCUGGCGGCGUGCUUAACACAUGCAAGUCGAACGGAAAGGCCCUGCUUUUGUGGGGUGCUCGAGUGGCGAACGGGUGAGUAACACGUGAGUAACCUGCCCUUGACUUUGGGAUAACUUCAGGAAACUGGGGCUAAUACCGGAUAGGAGCUCCUGCUGCAUGGUGGGGGUUGGAAAGUUUCGGCGGUUGGGGAUGGACUCGCGGCUUAUCAGCUUGUUGGUGGGGUAGUGGCUUACCAAGGCUUUGACGGGUAGCCGGCCUGAGAGGGUGACCGGCCACAUUGGGACUGAGAUACGGCCCAGACUCCUACGGGAGGCAGCAGUGGGGAAUAUUGCACAAUGGGCGGAAGCCUGAUGCAGCAACGCCGCGUGCGGGAUGACGGCCUUCGGGUUGUAAACCGCUUUCGCCUGUGACGAAGCGUGAGUGACGGUAAUGGGUAAAGAAGCACCGGCUAACUACGUGCCAGCAGCCGCGGUGAUACGUAGGGUGCGAGCGUUGUCCGGAUUUAUUGGGCGUAAAGGGCUCGUAGGUGGUUGAUCGCGUCGGAAGUGUAAUCUUGGGGCUUAACCCUGAGCGUGCUUUCGAUACGGGUUGACUUGAGGAAGGUAGGGGAGAAUGGAAUUCCUGGUGGAGCGGUGGAAUGCGCAGAUAUCAGGAGGAACACCAGUGGCGAAGGCGGUUCUCUGGGCCUUUCCUGACGCUGAGGAGCGAAAGCGUGGGGAGCGAACAGGCUUAGAUACCCUGGUAGUCCACGCUGUAAACGGUGGGUACUAGGUGUGGGGUCCAUUCCACGGGUUCCGUGCCGUAGCUAACGCUUUAAGUACCCCGCCUGGGGAGUACGGCCGCAAGGCUAAAACUCAAAGGAAUUGACGGGGCCCCGCACAAGCGGCGGAGCAUGCGGAUUAAUUCGAUGCAACGCGUAGAACCUUACCUGGGUUUGACAUGGAUCGGGAGUGCUCAGAGAUGGGUGUGCCUCUUUUGGGGUCGGUUCACAGGUGGUGCAUGCCUGUCGUCAGCUCGUGUCGUGAGAUGUUGGGUUAAGUCCCGCAACGAGCGCAACCCUUGUUCACUGUUGCCAGCACGUUAUGGUGGGGACUCAGUGGAGACCGCCGGGGUCAACUCGGAGGAAGGUGGGGAUGACGUCAAGUCCUCAUGCCCCUUAUGUCCAGGGCUUCACGCAUGCUACAAUGGCUGGUACAGAGAGUGGCGAGCCUGUGAGGGUGAGCGAAUCUCGGAAAGCCGGUCUCAGUUCGGAUCGGGGUCUGCAACUCGACCUCAUGAAGUCGGAGUCGCUAGUAAUCGCAGAUCAGCAACGCUGCGGUGAAUACGUUCCCGGGGCU
rnacentral:rRNA from 1 species